UACGUAGGGGGCAAGCGUUGUCCGGAUUUAUUGGGCGUAAAGAGCGUGUAGGCGGUCAGGUAGGUCCGUUGUGAAAACUCGAGGCUCAACCUCGAGACGCCGAUGGAAACCAUCUGACUAGAGUCCGGAAGAGGAGAGUGGAAUUCCUGGUGUAGCGGUGAAAUGCGCAGAUAUCAGGAAGAACACCGGUGGCGAAGGCGGGUCUCUGGGCCAAAACUGACGCUGAGGAGCGAAAGCGUGGGGAGCGAACAGG
rnacentral:rRNA from 1 species